AAAAUCCGUCGAUUUUUUGAAUCGGGAGGGGUCAAGUCCCCCUAUCCCCA
rnacentral:tRNA from 1 species